AACGAACGCUGGCGGCGUGCCUAACACAUGCAAGUCGAGCGAGAAAGCCCGCAAGGGUGAGUAAAGCGGCGCACGGGUGAGUAACACGUGGGUAAUCUGCCCUAGAGUCCGGAAUAACUCGCCGAAAGGCGUGCUAAUGCCGGAUGAGACCACGGGAGCCUCGGCUCCUGCGGGAAAAGGUGGCCUCUGUACACAAGCUAUCGCUCUAGGAUGAGCCCGCGGCCCAUCAGCUAGUUGGCGGGGUAACGGCCCACCAAGGCUACGACGGGUAGCUGGUCUGAGAGGACGAUCAGCCACACUGGAACUGAGACACGGUCCAGACUCCUACGGGAGGCAGCAGUGGGGAAUCUUGCGCAAUGGGCGAAAGCCUGACGCAGCAACGCCGCGUGUGUGAUGAAGGUCUUCGGAUCGUAAAGCACUGUCGCGAGGGACGAAUAAGGGUCGGGCUAACAUCCCGGCACGAUGACGGUACCUCGAGAGGAAGCACCGGCUAACUCUGUGCCAGCAGCCGCGGUAAUACAGAGGGUGCAAGCGUUGUUCGGAAUUAUUGGGCGUAAAGCGCGUGUAGGCGGCUUUGCAAGUCGGAUGUGAAAGCCCUCGGCUUAACCGAGGAAGUGCGUUCGAAACUGCCGAGCUUGAGUACCGGAGAGGGUGGCGGAAUUCCCGGUGUAGAGGUGAAAUUCGUAGAUAUCGGGAGGAACACCAGUGGCGAAGGCGGCCACCUGGACGGAUACUGACGCUGAGACGCGAAAGCGUGGGUAGCAAACAGGAUUAGAUACCCUGGUAGUCCACGCUGUAAACGAUGAGCGCUAGGUGUUGCGGGUGUUGACCCCCGCAGUGCCGCAGCUAACGCAUUAAGCGCUCCGCCUGGGAAGUACGGCCGCAAGGCUA
rnacentral:rRNA from 1 species